UACGUAGGGAGCUAGCGUUGUCCGGAAUCAUUGGGCGUAAAGCGCUCGUAGGCGGACGUGUCAGUCAGGGGGGAAAUCCCGGAGCUCAACUUCGGAACUGCCUUUGAUACAGCACAUCUGGAGUCCGGAAGAGGUGGGUGGAAUUCCUAGUGUAGCGGUGAAAUGCGUAGAUAUUAGGAAGAACACCGGUGGCGAAAGCGGCUCCCUGGACAAAUGCUGACGCUCAGGCACGAAAGCGUGGGGAGCAAAAGGG
rnacentral:rRNA from 1 species